rnacentral:misc_RNA from 1 species
AAAGUCGUAACAAGGUAACCGUAGGUGAACCUGCGGUUGGAUCAUUAAAAAAGAUUUGGUCUUGUGCCAAAUUAACAUCUGUGUGCACCAUUGUCUGUCUUUGGCAGUUCGAGCGCUCUCCCGGAGCUUCAACACUUUCGGGUAAAGCCUACCCCUUGCCUUGUGCGGGGGGUUGGACUGCCGCCUUUUUAUGAUAAACAUUUUGUUUUGAGUUUUUGUCUGAACGAAGAGUUAAUCUUAACUGAUUAAUGAUUUGAAUACAACUUUUGACAACGGAUCUCUUGGCUCUC